CCGUCAGACUGGCCUGAGAACACCAGUCUUUACCACCAAUACCCGCUACACAUUUUGCCUGAUACCGUAUGUAGUGGGGUUCAUUGAUGGUGGUAAAGUACGUAAGAAGGAAAGAAAAAAAUAAAACAGGAGGAUUUCAUCAAAAGUGAAAGGAGGUAUACAAUAACGAUCAAUGUCCUCUUCUUUCGAUUCUGGAAUACUGCUGAGCGAGGGCGGCGGUGGGUCCUCAUCCUUGGAUGUAGAUUCUCCAACACGCGGAUUUCCAGGUCGACCAGGUCCUUGCCAUGCGAUGUCGUUACCGAGUCCGAGACUUCGACAUUACAGGUCGAAAUAAAAAAAAUAUUCAGUUAUAAAGUUUGGCAAUUUUCUCAUCUUUCUAUCAAAAUAUGAAAGUU